AUUCACAUAUGAACCUAUAAAAAGAAAAAACAAACUAAAAGUUAUUAGUAAGUAUGUAUGAGAAAUGGAUAAUAAACACAAAUAGGGGCAUAUGAUUAAAGAGAACGAGAGAUUCUCUAAAGUUAGCAAUCAAAUGUGAAACAAACGAGAGAUUAAAUAAAUGUAUGAGAAACAAUUUUUUUUUAUUUUUUAUUUUUUUGGCAAGUAAGAAUAUAUUAUUACCAAAAACGCAGGUUACAAAGUUACAACACUAAGAAGUAACCCUCCAAACUACACAAUCCCAAAAAGGCAAACAACCACCUAAAAACCACCCCUUAUUUAUUCAUCUUUGUAAAAGCAUUGUUUUGGUGAAUACUCAAGCCCAGUCUGACGUUGUUGAUUGUAGCAACCGGUAUAAUUCAAAGUACUAUGUGGUGGUUGUACAGUACACUGCAAGAUUCAAUGCUGAAACUGUCAAAAACUACCUGUACACUCUCAAUCAGGGUAAAGUUCCUAAAAAGAAAUUCAAUUGUCAGUACUCUCCUCUUGUGCUUCUCAUUUUUUAUCUUCAUUGUGUUUUAACCAAAAUAAGAUAGGCUGGAAAUGAAAUGUGUUACCAACUUACCACACAUCUCAUA